GAUGAACGCUGGCGGCGUGCUUAACACAUGCAAGUCGAACGAGAAUCAACGGAUUGAGGAUUCGUCCAAAUGAAGUUGAGGAAAGUGGCGGACGGGUGAGUAACGCGUGAGGAACCUGCCUCGGAGUGGGGAAUAACAGUUGGAAACAGCUGCUAAUACCGCAUAUGCCAUAGAUAUCACAUGAUAGCAGUGGGAAAGGAGCAAUCCGCUAAUAGAUGGCCUUGCGUCUGAUUAGAUAGUUGGUGGGGUAACAGCCUACCAAGUCGACGAUCAGUAGCCGGACUGAGAGGUUGAACGGCCACAUUGGGACUGAGAUACGGCCCAG
rnacentral:rRNA from 1 species